rnacentral:rRNA from 1 species
CAAGGAAUUUUCGGCAAUGGGCGCAAGCCUGACCGAGCAACGCCGCGUGCGGGAUGACGGCCUUCGGGUUGUAAACCGCUUUUCGGGGGGACGACUACGACGGUACCCCCGGAAGAAGCCCCGGCUAACUCUGUGCCAGCAGCCGCGGUAAGACAGAGGGGGCGAGCGUUGUCCGGAGUUACUGGGCGUAAAGCGCGCGCAGGCGGUGGUCUCAGUGUCGUGUGAAAGCCCCCGGCUCAACCGGGGGAGGUCAUGGCAAACUAGACGACUAGAGCGGCGGAGAGGCCCCUCGAAUUGCCGGUGUAGCGGUGAAAUGCGUAGAGAUCGGCAGGAAGACCAAGGGGGAAGCCAGGGGGCUGGCCGCUGGCUGACGCUGAGGCGCGACAGCGUGGGGAGCAAACCGGA